GACGAACGCUGGCGGCGUGCUUAACACAUGCAAGUCGAACGGAAAGGCCCUGCUUUUGUGGGGUGCUCGAGUGGCGAACGGGUGAGUAACACGUGAGUAACCUGCCCUUGACUUUGGGAUAACUUCAGGAAACUGGGGCUAAUACCGGAUAGGAGCUCCUGCUGCAAGGUGGGGGUUGGAAAGUUUCGGCGGUUGGGGAUGGACUCGCGGCUUAUCAGCUUGUUGGUGGGGUAGUGGCUUACCAAGGCUUUGACGGGUAGCCGGCCUGAGAGGGUGACCGGCCACAUUGGGACUGAGCUACUGCCCGGACUCCUACGGGAGGCAGCAGUGUGUAAUAUUGCACACUGGGCGGAAGCCUGAUGCAGCAACGCCGCGUGCGGGAUGACGGCCUUCGGGUUGUAAACCGCUUUCGCCUGUGACGAAGCGUGAGUGACGGUAAUGGGUAAAGAAGCACCGGCUAACUACGUG
rnacentral:rRNA from 1 species